CCCUGCAGGGAGAGGAGUCCCUGAAAGACCUUUCCCCGUGUUUGAAGGGCCCAGCCACCCCUUCCGAACCCUGGAGCUUUCACACA